GCAUAUCAAUAAGCGGAGGAAAAGAAACCAACAGGGAUUGCCCUAGUAACGGCGAGUGAAGCGGCAACAGCUCAAAUUUGAAAUCUGGCUCUCGGGCCCGAGUUGUAAUUUGUAGAGGAUACUUUUGAUGCGGUGCCUUCCGAGUUCCCUGGAACGGGACGCCAUAGAGGGUGAGAGCCCCGUCUGGUUGGAUGCCAAAUCUCUGUAAAGUUCCUUCAACGAGUCGAGUAGUUUGGGAAUGCUGCUCUAAAUGGGAGGUAUAUGUCUUCUAAAGCUAAAUACCGGCCAGAGACCGAUAGCGCACAAGUAGAGUGAUCGAAAGAUGAAAAGCACUUUGAAAAGAGAGUUAAAAAGUACGUGAAAUUGUUGAAAGGGAAGCGUUUAUGACCAGACUUGGGCUUGGUUAAUCAUCUGGGGUUCUCCCCAGUGCACUUUUCCAGCUCAGGCCAGCAUCAGUUUUCCCCGGGGGAUAAAGGCGGAGGGAAUGUGGCUCUCUUCGGGGAGUGUUAUAGCCCACCGUGUAAUACCCUGGGGGGGACUGAGGUUCGCGCAUCUGCAAGGAUGCUGGCGUAAUGGUCAUCAACGACCCGUCUUGAAACACGGACCAAGGAGUCGUCUUCGUAUGCGAGUGUUCGGGUGUCAAACCCCUACGCGUAAUUAAAGUGAACGCAGGUGAGAGCUUCGGCGCAUCAUCGACCGAUCCUGAUGUUCUCGGAUGGAUUUGAGUAAGAGCAUACGGGGCCGGACCCGAAAGAAGGUGAACUAUGCCUGUAUAGGGUGAAGCCAGAGGAAACUCUGGUGGAGGCUCGCAGCGGUUCUGACGUGCAAAUCGAUCGUCAAAUAUGGGCAUGGGGGCGAAAGACUAAUCGAACCUUCUAGUAGCUGGUUUCCGCCGAAG
rnacentral:rRNA from 1 species